rnacentral:rRNA from 1 species
GUCUUUAAGACCUUAAUUUAAAGUCAAAUNUGCCCAAUGAAUUUAUUUAAAUGGCUGCAGGACUCAUCACUGUACAAAGGUAGCAUAAUAAUUUGUUUUUUAAUUAAAAACUAGAAUGAAAGAUUUAAUGAAAUAUAAACUUUUUCAAUUAAAUUUAUAUUAAAUUUUUUAUUUAAGUAAAAAAACUUAAAUAAAUUUUAAAGACGACAAGACCCUAUAGAAUUUUAUUUAUUUAAUUUUUAUUUAUCUAAUUAAAUAAAUUUUAUUGGGGUAAUAAAAAAAUUAAUUAAAUUUUUUUUUUAACAAACAUUUUUAAUGAAUUUCAAAUCUUAAUUUUUAAAUUAAAAAAAUUAAUUACCUUAGGGAUAACAGCAUAAUUUUUUUUAAAAGAUCUUAUUAAUAAAAAANAUUAU